rnacentral:tRNA from 1 species
GGAGAGGUGUCCGAGUGGCUUAAGGAGCUGGUCUCGAAAACCGGUGUGCGGUUCACCCGUACCGCGGGUUCGAAUCCCGCCCUCUCCG